CAGCAGCCGCGGUAAUACGGAGGGAGCUAGCGUUGUUCGGAAUCACUGGGCGUAAAGCGCACGUAGGCGGCUAUUCAAGUCAGGGGUGAAAGCCCGGGGCUCAACCCCGGAACUGCUUUUGAAACUAGAUAGCUUGAAUCUUGGAGAGGCGAGUGGAAUUCCGAGUGUAGAGGUGAAAUUCGUAGAUAUUCGGAAGAACACCAGUGGCGAAGGCGACUCGCUGGACAAGUAUUGACGCUGAGGUGCGAAAGCGUGGGGAGCAAACAGGAUUAGAUACCCCGGUAGUCCCUGUCUCUUAUAC
rnacentral:rRNA from 1 species